rnacentral:tRNA from 1 species
UGCCCCGUGGUCCAGUGGUUAAGACUCUGCCUUUCAAUGCAGAGGGUGUGGGUUCAAUCCCUAGUUGGGCAA